rnacentral:lncRNA from 1 species
GUACAUGUUUUCUCAUUGUUACUGAAUUUUUUUUUAAUAUAAGGAUAGCAUACUACCCGCUUCUUUUAUUAUAAAUAGAAAAUGAACUUGACUACAGAAGUCAAGCAACUGAGGCCUCUCAGAGGUGCCAAAAAAAAAAAAAAAAAAACACACACACACACACCACUGCUGUGCUGACCAUCUAACAUUAAUAUAUUUUAGAUUAUAGGGAUACAUGUUUGGGACACUUUUGUGUAAGUGUUCCAUUUGUGCCAAAUUUUUUUAAAAAAUAUACUAAUGACUAAAUAUAAAACUCAAUUCAACAAAAAAAAAAAGGUUAAUCUACUCAACCCACCCCAUCUAGCCCGUUUGGCCUGAUUACAAACAGAAAAGAAAAAAAAUAAAUAAAAAAUUGAUUACCAUCUCUCCUUCUCCCUUCACUCAAUCCACUGAAGUUCUAGACGAAGAGCCCUUCCCUCUCCUCCUCCUCCGCCACGGCAGCAACGAGCUAGAGUUCCGGCGGUUGCUAAAUUUUAAAUAAGUGUUGGUAAAUUAGCAGCACUCUUUUUAGCUUAUAGCGACACUUUUUAACUGUCACUAUAUACCUAGCGAUCCCACAUAUAGUAACACUUUUUAAAAGUGUUGAUAAUUUAGCUAGUAGUAUUUUUUUUAGCUGUACUAAUAUUUAAAAGUAUCACUAAAGGCCGUUUUUGUUGUAGUGUUGUCAUCUUAAAUAUACUUGUGAUACACAUGACUUCGAGUUGGCCCUAACUUCACGCUCGUUGUUGUAGGCAUUGACUAUUAGUGUCCUUUUUUACUUCUCAAGUGGAAUGAUUUUUCUAGUUCCAAAAAUGGUUUUUGAGAGUUUGAGAAAUAAUAUAUAUAUAUAUAUAUAUAUAUAGAGAGAGAGAGAGAGAGAGAGAGAGUUGAGCUAGAAUACUAUCGAUAGCAAACCGGCUCUGUUGCCACCCAUUUGUUUUCGAUGAUGGAGCCUCCAAAUCGACGAUCGGCACCGUUGAACAUGAUCUAUACCACUUGAAGUGUUUAGAAAUCAAAUUUUAAAUCUUUUCGAUAUCAUUUACCUAAUAAUCAAUGGGCUUCAAAAUUUGUAAUUUUAAUGGUCGAUAUGAGACGUACGUUUUCUCGUUUAACGGUGUAAAGAUAUCCAAAUCAAUUAAAUUUUUGUUAGAAAAUUCUUUAAACUAUUUAAAACAAGAUCUAUACUCUUGAUCUUGAUUACCAGACUCCUAUCAUCAUUUUUUAAAGAAUAUUUAUUUAUAGCCGUUCAUUUUUGUGUCCACUCGAUGGAUAAGAGAACAAUAUCGAAAAUAUAUGAAAUUUGAUUUCUAAACACUUCAAGUGGUAUAGAUCAUGUUCAAUGGUGCCGAUCGUCGAUUUGGAGGCUCCAUCAUCGAAAACAAAUGGGUGGCAACGGAGCC